ACAGGGUCUAGGCUGCAUGAACCAUACCAUGAUCACGAAGGUGGUUUUCCCAGGGCGAGGCUUAUUCAUUGCACUCCGGAUGUGCUGACCCCUGCGAUUUCCCCAAAUGUGGGAAACUCGACUGCAUAGUUUGUAGUAGUGGGGGACUGCGUUCGCGCUCUCCCCUG
ensembl:snRNA U1 U1 spliceosomal RNA